UGCCUGAGCAUCAGGUAUGUUGCCAUUA
rnacentral:piRNA from 1 species